rnacentral:rRNA from 1 species
GGAGUUUGGUCCGUGUCUCAGUACCAAUGUGGGGGACCUUCCUCUCAGAACCCCUACUGAUCGUUGCCCCGGUGGGCCGUUACCCCGCCGGCAAGCUAAUCAGACGCAUCCCCAUCCCUUACCGAUGAAUCUUUGUUCCUCGUUAGAUGCCUGCAAAGGAGAACAUAGAGUAUUAAUUCGCCUUUCGGCGGGCUAUCCCUGAGUGAUGGGAAGGUUGGAUACGCGUUACUCACCCGUGCGCCGGUCGCCAUCUACCAAAGCAAGCUUCGAUAAUGCUGCCCCUCGACUUGCAUGUGUUAAGCCUGUAGCUAGCGUUCAUC